rnacentral:rRNA from 1 species
UACGUAGGGGGCGAGCGUUGUCCGGAGUUACUGGGCGUAAAGCGCAUGCAGGCGGUCGCACAAGUUCGGCGUGACAGUGCCCGGCUUAACUGGGCAAGUGCGUCGAAAACUGUACGACUUGAAGGCUUCAGAGGGACACGGAAUUCCGGGUGUAGUGGUGAAAUGCGUAGAUAUCCGGAGGAACACCAAUGGCGUAGGCAGUGUCCUGGGGAGCUCUUGACGCUCAGAUGCGAAAGCCAGGGGAGCGAACGGG